GAUGAACGCUGGCGGCGUGCCUAAUACACGCAAGUCGAGCGAACAGAUGAGAAGCUUGCUUCUCUGAUGUUAGCGGCGGGCGGGUGAGUAACACGUGGGUAACCUACCUAUAAGACUGGGAUAACUCCGGGAAACCGGGGCUAAUACCGGAUAAUAUUUUGAACCGCAUGGUUCAAUAGUGAAAGACGGUUUCGGCUGUCACUUAUAGAUGGACCCGCGCCGUAUUAGCUAGUUGGUAAGGUAACGGCUUACCAAGGCGACGAUACGUAGCCGACCUGGGAGGGUGAUCGGCCCACCUGGAACUGAGACACGGUCCAGACUCCUACGGGAGGCAGCAGUAGGGAAUCUUCCGCAAGGGGCGAAAGCCUGACGGAGCAACGCCGCGUGAGUGAUGAAGGUCUUCGGAUCGUAAAACUCUGUUGUUAGGGAAGAACAAAUUUGUUAGUAACUGAACAAGUCUUGACGGUACCUAACCAGAAAGCCACGGCUAACUACGUGCCAGCCGCCGCGGUAA
rnacentral:rRNA from 1 species